rnacentral:rRNA from 1 species
AGAGUUUGAUCCUGGCUCAGGAUGAACGCUAGCGGCAGGCCUAACACAUGCAAGUCGAGGGGCAUCGGGAUUGAAGCUUGCUUCAAUUGCCGGCGACCGGCGCACGGGUGCGUAACGCGUAUGUAACCUACCUAUAACAGGGGCAUAACACUGAGAAAUUGGUACUAAUUCCCCAUAAUAUUCGGAGAGGCAUCUCUCCGGGUUGAAAACUCCGGUGGUUAUAGAUGGACAUGCGUUGUAUUAGCUAGUUGGUGAGGUAACGGCUCACCAAGGCAACGAUACAUAGGGGGACUGAGAGGUUAACCCCCCACACUGGUACUGAGACACGGACCAGACUCCUACGGGAGGCAGCAGUGAGGAAUAUUGGUCAAUGGACGCAAGUCUGAACCAGCCAUGCCGCGUGCAGGAAGACGGCUCUAUGAGUUGUAAACUGCUUUUGUACGAGGGUAAACGCAGAUACGUGUAUCUGUCUGAAAGUAUCGUACGAAUAAGGAUCGGCUAACUCCGUGCCAGCAGCCGCGGUAAUACGGAGGAUUCAAGCGUUAUCCGGAUUUAUUGGGUUUAAAGGGUGCGUAGGCGGUUUGAUAAGUUAGAGGUGAAAUCCCGGGGCUUAACUCCGGAACUGCCUCUAAUACUGUUAGACUAGAGAGUAGUUGCGGUAGGCGGAAUGUAUGGUGUAGCGGUGAAAUGCUUAGAGAUCAUACAGAACACCGAUUGCGAAGGCAGCUUACCAAACUAUAUCUGACGUUGAGGCACGAAAGCGUGGGGAGCAAACAGGAUUAGAUACCCUGGUAGUCCACGCAGUAAACGAUGAUAACUCGUUGUCGGCGAUACACAGUCGGUGACUAAGCGAAAGCGAUAAGUUAUCCACCUGGGGAGUACGUUCGCAAGAAUGAAACUCAAAGGAAUUGACGGGGGCCCGCACAAGCGGAGGAACAUGUG